ACCGAUGUCUGGGAUGACAUCGGUGAAACCUGGGGACCGCAAGGCCUGGGGCAAGGAGAGGAUCCUGCGUCUGAUUAGCUAGUUGGCGGGGUAAUGGCCCACCAAGGCGACGAUCAGUAGCCGGCCUGAGAGGGUGAUCGGCCACACUGGAACUGAGACACGGUCCAGACUCCUACGGGAGGCAGCAGUGGGGAAUUUUGCGCAAUGGACGAAAGUCUGACGCAGCAACGCCGCGUGGGUGAUGAAGGUCUUCGGACUGUAAAACCCUGUCGUCAGGGACGAAGGCUGAGGGGUUAAUAACCUUUUAGCUUGACGGUACCUGGAGAGGAAGCCCCGGCUAACUCUGUGCCAGCAGCCGCGGUAAUACAGAGGGGGCAAGCGUUAUUCGGAAUUAUUGGGCGUAAAGGGCGCGUAGGCGGUUUUUUAAGUCAGAUGUGUAAUCCCCGAGCUUAACUUGGGAACUGCAUCUGAGACUGGAAAGCUAAAGUACUGGAAAAGGU
rnacentral:rRNA from 1 species